UGGGAGGGGAGGGGGGCCCACCUGCUCCAGCUGUGACCGCGCUGCGCCGCGGGGUGCAAGAAGGGGAAUCACAGCUGGACCAGGCGGCAGCGGCAGCACUGGACCCUGGGACUGCCUCUGCGCCGCCAGCUGCGAAGGCGCUCCCAGGAGGCUCCAGGGGCAGGCAGGCUCAAUGGCCCAGGACCAAGCAGGAGCAGGUGGAGCAGACUCUGCUUGUUCCUGCGCCCACUCUCCAGCCCCUCGCCCUGGGAUGUCAGAAGGGAUACUAGGCUGUUCUGGAUUUGGAUUAUGCCCAGUUUCCCUUCCAACUCUGUGACCUUCCACUAUUCCUGAGGAAAUUGGUCGCUGGGACAGCGGUGUGCACACUUAUAAUGAUUACCCUCUCCAUUCCCAGACGCGCCCCAGCCCAGCUUGCUCCUUCCGCCCCACCCUCUACCCCCAGAUCUGGGGCCCCCGAGAGGGGAGGAGGAGCGGUAAGUGGGAACCAGGUCCCCUCCCUGCAGCAGAGUCUUCGAUUCAAUUGAACAAACGAUUUCUGUAGACAGAGAACUCACCGCGCUAGGAGAAACACAAAGUUGGGACAAGACGCUGAGCUUGCCCUCACGACGCUUGCACAGGAGCAGAGGAACGUGACAAGUACACAAAUCCCUAGAGGAGUGAAUACGGAAAAUCAUAGCAGUUUAGAUUAGAGCUGGAAGGGACCUUAGGGGCUAUCGAGUCCAACCCCGUUAUUGAGCCGUUCUGAAUUCGGAUUAUGUCCCGCUCUGUCUUCCGACUCUUUGACCAUCUUCCACCAUUCCCGUGUCAAUCGGCUUCUCCAAGAGCUCUCUGCACGCUUACAACGAUCACUCUCAGGGGUAUAUGGGAGAAAAAGAAGACAUAAAGUUAAGGAGAAGGAACAAGAAGAAUGGAGCCAAACUUCAACAUGGAGCAUGCUACCAGUUUGGAAAUUCUGGCUACUGGAAAGUUGGCAGCUCUGGGGAAGGGAAAGGGAGAAGAGAGUGAGGAGAUGGACAAACAUGAUGUUUGCUUCAGCACAGAGAUCAUGGAUUACUGAGCCUAAGAAUGAACGUCCCCAGUCUUCUUGGGUCUUAUCCCUGAAUCUAAGAGUUUCUGAGCUUGAGCAUUAAGCCCUUGCCAACAGAAGGAGAAGACUUCCUAAACAACCUGCUGCUUGGGGAAGAGAACUCCACCAGGAGGAACUUCCAGCUGAAGGACUGAUAGCCACACCAUGGCCAGCCAGAAGCUCUGAACUCUGAUGACCCCCCAUAAUACUGUUGUGAGGUGCUCAAAGGUCCUAAGUAAAAGGGAAAUAGUUAUUGAAUGGAAAAUAUUUUAAUCUCCCCAAGU